AGGUGAUGCUAAUUUCUAUAUUACAGUGCUGAUGAGAAGAUAUAAUGAAUACUGAGUAUGACACAUUAAAUCAAGCUCAACAUGUUUGCUGGGCCAAGUUCAACUAUUACAUUUUUAAUGAACUGGCAGUGAGACAGAGUCCUUCUAUCUGAAUGGCCCUGAAGUUUUGACGUGGGCUGUUUCAACUUGGCAUCCAGGAUUUUGUUUGUGACAAAAAGACACCAUAUGGUGACACAUGCAAGCAUUUGGCCUUAAAUCACCGGCUUUUCUUCCACUGUGACACAAGGCAGAAGGAGAAACAGAAGGGGGCCACUCAGACAGUGUGCUGCAGGAGUCUGGGAUUCUCCUAAAUACUCAAGCAAGGUGGGAGUGCCUACGAAAGCUUUCCCAGGCGUGGACUUUAUGUAAACCCAUUUGGAACUGAAAAAUAGCUUGUCCUCUGAAUUUUGGGGAGAGAUGAAAGCAGGCGGACACCAUGCUUAGCUUUGGCCCUGAGGCCUUCAAGAGGAUCUCUCAGAGCUCUAUUUUUUGGAAGUCAGAGACCCCUAUAACCAAAGGGAAAAAAGGAGCUCCAUUAUGUAACAGUCAUUUUUCUUUCCAAUUUGAAUAACAGAUUUUGCUAGCCGGAGCUAUGCUGAGCUAGAAUUUUUGCAAUGGUCAAACUCGGUGGCUUUUUCCUCAGUAAUGGCAUCUCCCAGGACAAGUUUCCUAGUGAAUCUCACAUUGCCCAGCUCCUGUUUCCUGGUGCAGCUGUUCAUGUGGCCAUCUCAAAAUUGGAGGAGCAUUGGGAGUAUGAGAAGAGAACCUAACAAUAGAGAGCAACAGAAAUGGAUUCAAGUGAAGGCCUCGACAGAGAACAAAGCUAAGUGCUGCAGGAGGAGACUUCCUGGACAACAGCGGGCACAGGGAUGGCAGUGUCCUUGGCUGGCA
rnacentral:lncRNA from 1 species